AUUCAUUUUUCCUGUGUGGAUUGUUAGGUAAAACUUUUUUCCUCACUUAAUAAGAUUUGUGGUUUUGCUGUAGAAUAGGACUUGAAGCAUAAUGUCACCUUCAAACAGGAGCAUCAGAAGAUUGAAUUCUUAUAAUAGGAAAUUCCUCUUUCUUUGGAUUCUGUAUCCCUUGGACAUCCUCCAUGACACUCGUAAACAUCUUUGGCACACAUAUAUCUUUAUGUUUUAUGCCUCACUUGAAACUGAUACUCAGAAUUGUUAAAAAAAUUAUUUCUAUGAUUGUACAUAGUAAGGAAUAUCAUAUGAUUUUAACAUAUUCAUAGGAGACAUUUUUGGAAGAAAACCUUUCAUGUUUCUUUUUUCUCUACCAGACCAAAUGCAUUUGAUGAUGCAAGUGGGAUCUUUUAUACUCCAUAUCUUUUAUUCUAUUUUUAAUUUUGAUAAUGUGGUUAGUGGUAGAAAACAAUUUCAUAGUAUAGCCUUGGGCUGCUCAGACUCCAAAGCACAUCAAUUUUGGAGGACUUCUGUGGGAACUUUGUAAGGACUUUGGCUUAUAAAAGCCUUUGUAAGACCUUCUAAGGAUCAUAGGGACACUGGAGGAUUUUAAGGAGGAAAGAGAAUCCAGAGACUGUACUGUUAACAAGAAGCUCAGUUUAUGUUGAGAUACCAGCAGAAUUUGAUGAAGAGACAUUUAUCCAAGUUUUGUGGUUAAAAAAAAGGCAGGAAGAAAGAUAAAAUCUAGACACAAACCAAUGAGUGCCUGAACCAGAAAAUGAAAAGAGAAAAAAAAAAGGAAGGAUAUAGCAGGAAGAGACUGGAGCUGAAACCAACCUGAACAGCGAUUAGCAGUUAUAGCAGUUGGUGAAAGGAAUUCUUAUUCUCAUCAUCAGUAUCAGCCCAUCUUUCUUUUUCCUACAUGAGGACUACAUUAUUUUCUGCCAAGCUUGGGCAGUGGAUGUGGUAGAGAAGUGGAUGGUCAGCUCUGAGGAAUGGAGGAAGAUCCAGACCACAUCCUUCCAGGCACAGAAGCCUUACUGGCUCUGAGUAGCAGCACAUGAACAAACUGGAGAUGUUUGCCAUCAUCUUGAAUGAUCGUCAGCAAAAUCCAACACUGAGGAUCAAGCAAAAUUUACCUCAGAGGUCUGAAAACUCUUUUUCAAAAUAAACAGUUGAGGAGGUUUAA